rnacentral:rRNA from 1 species
UACGUAGGCAGCGAGCGUUGUUCGGAGUUACUGGGCGUAAAGCGCGUGUAGGUGGUGGGACAAGUCUGCUGUGAAAGCGCCUGGCUUAACCGGGCGAGGUCGGCGGAAACUGUCCGACUCGAGGACGGUAGAGGGGGGUGGAAUUCCCGGUGUAGUGGUGAAAUGCGUAGAGAUCGGGAGGAACACCUGUGGCGAAGGCGGCCCCCUGGGCCGGCCCUGACACUGAGACGCGAAGGCGUGGGGAGCGAACGGG